rnacentral:rRNA from 1 species
CCUAGUAACGGCGAGUGAAGCGGCAACAGCUCAAAUUUGAAAUCUGGCCUCCUUUCGGGGUCCGAGUUGUAAUUUGUAGAGGGCGCUUUGGCAUUGGCUGUGGUCUAAGUUCCUUGGAACAGGACGUCGCAGAGGGUGAGAAUCCCGUAUGUGGCCGCCAGUCUUUGCCGUGUAAAGCCCCUUCGACGAGUCGAGUUGUUUGGGAAUGCAGCUCUAAAUGGGAGGUAAAUUUCUUCUAAAGCUAAAUACUGGCCAGAGACCGAUAGCGCACAAGUAGAGUGAUCGAAAGAUGAAAAGCACUUUGGAAAGAGAGUCAAAAAGCACGUGAAAUUGUUGAAAGGGAAGCGCUUGCAGCCAGACGUGCCCGCAGUUUUCUGUGGGCAGGCCAGCAUCAGUCCGGGCGGUUGGACAAAUGACCUUUAAAUGUGCCUCCCCUCGGGGAGAACUUAUAGGGAGGUUGUCAUGCAACCAGCCCGGACUGAGGUCCGCGCAUCUGCUAGGAUGCUGGCGUAAUGGCUUUAAGCGGCCCGUCUU